rnacentral:rRNA from 1 species
GCAAUACGUCAGCGGCAGACGGGUGAGUAACGCGUGGGAACGUACCUUUUGGUUCGGAACAACACAGGGAAACUUGUGCUAAUACCGGAUAAGCCCUUACGGGGAAAGAUUUAUCGCCGAAAGAUCGGCCCGCGUCUGAUUAGCUAGUUGGUGAGGUAAUGGCUCACCAAGGCGACGAUCAGUAGCUGGUCUGAGAGGAUGAUCAGCCACAUUGGGACUGAGACACGGCCCAAACUCCUACGGGAGGCAGCAGUGGGGAAUAUUGGACAAUGGGCGCAAGCCUGAUCCAGCCAUGCCGCGUGAGUGAUGAAGGCCCUAGGGUUGUAAAGCUCUUUUGUGCGGGAAGAUAAUGACGGUACCGCAAGAAUAAGCCCCGGCUAACUUCGUGCCAGCAGCCGCGGUAAUACGAAGGGGGCUAGCGUUGCUCGGAAUCACUGGGCGUAAAGGGUGCGUAGGCGGGUCUUUAAGUCAGGGGUGAAAUCCUGGAGCUCAACUCCAGAACUGCCUUUGAUACUGAGGAUCUUGAGUUCGGGAGAGGUGAGUGGAACUGCGAGUGUAGAGGUGAAAUUCGUAGAUAUUCGCAAGAACACCAGUGGCGAAGGCGGCUCACUGGCCCGAUACUGACGCUGAGGC